GUGCCAGCCGCCGCGGUAAUACGGAGGAUGCAAGCGUUAUCCGGAUUUAUUGGGCGUAAAGCGUCCGCAGGUGGUUGAGCAAGUCUGCUGUCAAAGCGCGGAGCUUAACUCCGUAAAGGCAGUGGAAACUGUUUAACUUGAGUACGGUAGGGGUAGCGGGAAUUCCCAGUGUAGCGGUGAAAUGCGUAGAUAUUGGGAAGAACACCAGCGGCGAAAGCGCGCUACUGGGCCUGUACUGACACUGAGGGACGAAAGCUAGGGGAGCGAAAGGGAUUAGAUACCCCCGUAGUCC
rnacentral:rRNA from 1 species